AUUGAACGCUGGCGGCAGGCCUAACACAUGCAAGUCGAGCGAGCGGCGGACGGGUGAGGCAUGUAUGGGGACUGCCUGAGAGCGGGGGGUCAGAACGGGAAAAGGGAGCUAAUACCGCAUAUUAUCGGAUAAACCAUAUGGGAGUAGCUGGGAGGUGAGGUAAUGGCUUACCUAGGCGACGAUCCCUAGCUGGUCUGAGCGGAUGAUCAGCCACACUGGGACUGAGACACGGCCCAGACGCCUACGGAGGCAGGAGUGGGGAAUAUUGCACAAUGGGCGCAAUGCGUAUGGAGCAAUGCCGCGUGUAUGAAGAAGGCGCUAGGGGUGUAAAGUGCUUUCAGUCGGGAGGCGUUACCGAGAAAGAAAGCACCGGCUAACUCCGUGCCAGCAGCCGCGGUAAUUC
rnacentral:rRNA from 1 species